AAAAGUAAUUGUGGUUUUUGCC
rnacentral:miRNA from 1 species